GGCCGGUUAGCUCACUCAGUUAGAGCGUGGUGCUGGUAACACCAAGGCUGAGGGUUCGAUCCCCAUUCGGUCC
rnacentral:tRNA from 1 species